rnacentral:rRNA from 1 species
UACGUAGGGUGCGAGCGUUGUCCGGAAUUAUUGGGCGUAAAGGGCGCGUAGGCGGUUCUGUAAGUCCCGCGUGAAAUCCCCCGGCUCAACUGGGGAACUGCGCGGGAAACUGUGGGGCUAGAGUUCAGGAGAGGGAAGCGGAAUUCCGGGUGUAGCGGUGAAAUGCGUAGAUAUCCGGAGGAACACCGGUGGCGAAGGCGGCUUCCUGGACUGACACUGACGCUGAGGCGCGAAAGCUAGGGGAGCAAACGGG